UCUCCCUCGUCAGCCCCUCUCGCGUCCUCCUCGAUUCCUUCCACUCCCUCGCGACCCUCACCGGCCACCGGCGACCUCCAACCCUUGUUCUCCGCCUCGUCGCCAUAGCCACCAUGAGCUCGAGCAGAGGAGCGGCUCGGCAGGACGAGGGGGCAGCAGCCAGCCGCGCCUCGUCCGUGUCGCGUGGUGGCCCAGAUGCGGUCGCCCCGUGCUCUGCCUCCACGAGCGCGGCCUCGAUCCAGACUCGGCAGGAGGAGGGGAGCAGCAGCCGGCCAUGCUGUGUUGGCCGUGGAGGAGGAAGGAGCUCAUGUGGCUAGGGUUCGGCUACCCUCGUCAUCCAUCUCCUCGAUCUCUCUCUGUCUGGCCGUGGUCUGAAGGAGGAAGAAGGGACCCAACGAAAUCGAGCGAUGCGGGCUGCAAUAGCCUAAAUAGGUGGCGGUCGAGACCACGGGAGCGGGAGCGACGGCCAUCUCCCCCCGCCCCACUCUCUUUACCUCUUCUAUGGAGAUGCUUUGCUGGGGACAUAUGAUUUCAUCCCAUUCUGUACUAUCCAUCAGGCCUCGGAUCCAUGGCUUCUCCAUCUUCCUCCUCCAGCCCCUUUCUCCAUGUCGGCCAUCCAAGAUAGAGACGGCUUGGAUGCAAGGGCCAAGCAUCGGCAUGGAUGAAGGCCUCCAAGAUUUAAGUGGUCAAUUAUGAAUGACGAUGCAGCCUGCAGAGUCAGGGAACCGACACCCAAAUAAAUUCAGGCCAGUCCUCGAUGUGAAGAACCUAAGGGAGGCGGAUCCCGACCCUUAUGACAGCCAAAAUUAGGCCGCCACUCGUCUCUCUCCCGCACCUGCUCUUCAGAUGGCCAACAACAUUUCGCGAGCAAUGACUACUGUCCAGUUAAGAGCAAUUCUUCUGUGUGGAAGGCUCUUUGUUCACACUCAAAUACUACCUCUGAAACAUGGAAGAAGGAAAAGGUUACUCUUCUGAUCUUGAGAAAACAGUUUCAGAGAAGCUAGCAGAUGCAGAAGAAUCUCUGAGGAAGUUGAAGCAGAUCUGUUCAGCACCCUGCAUCGUUACUUGAACCACCUUUCUGGCCUUGUAACUGUACCCCUUUAACAGAGUUCGACGUGUAUCGGUACCAUGUAGUUCUCGGAAUUUUUAGGCUGAUGGAAAUACAUAGUUUGACGUGUAUCGAUAUCUUCAGACCUUUGCUUCCGUAGUUUCGCCGAACUGAACUUCUCUAAAAUACAUGAACUAGAGCUUAGUCUUUAGAUAUUUUGUUUUUAAUUUAAAAUUGUUCAGAUUGAUUACUCCACCAUUAAAAUGUUGUUUAUAGAGGCAAAAUGCUUGUAUAUAUAUGACUGGUUGAUACAAAAUCUGGACAGUUAUGUCAGACUUUUUAUCUUGGCAUUUGCUUUUCAUGAAUCUACUAAAGUUUUUACCUGAUGAUCUUCUGUGCAGCUAUAUUCAGGUUAUAGGGCCUCUAUAGAAAAAGCAAUAAUUUGAAUUAUUUUCUUAAAUUUGCCAUUCUAAAUUCCUCAAUAAUUAUAACAACUCAAGUGUAUCCAUAUAGUUACAUAUCACAUUAGAUUUUCUUCUUAACUGGAUUUUAUGCCAUGUAAUGUAGGUUCUCUUCAAUUUGUUGUUGUGCUAGGCAUGAACAGAAUGGCUUCCUCUUCUUGCGAACCACACUGAUGUUGGCUUCUGGUUUCUGCUGUAAUGGUCUUUUUUUACUACGGACAGUGUUUCUUGAGGCUAUGUCUCUGCUAUAGGUCACCGCAUUUCGGGGGACUAAGUCCGACGACGGGAGAUUCUACAUAUAUUUUCUAAAAGACAUGUCGCUUGGUCGAGGCCUUGAUCAUGGUGAUAUGUGUUUAUUCGUCCGGUGACUUAGUAGAACAAUAACCUCUGUGCACAGUGAUGUUUCAGUUUCUACUAGAAGGUUUCAAAAUUGAAUGCACGGAGGGUUUAAAUGAGUCUUGUACAGGACUGAGAACAAAUUAUGCUUUCUGAGUUUCAAGCUACUGAAAGUAAUUGAAGCUUUGCUUUCGCUAUGUAACAAUGGUUGCAUGUGUUAAUUAGUGGUGCACAUUUUUUGAGACCGUCCAAAAUUCUAUUAUAAAGUGCUUAUAUGAAA